UCGAUCUCAAAUCAGGCGGGACUACCCGCUGAACUUAAGCAUAUCAAUAAGCGGAGGAAAAGAAACUAACGAGGAUUCCCCUAGUAACUGCGAGUGAAGCGGGAAAAGCUCAAAUUUGAAAUCUGGCGGUCUUUGGCCGUCCGAGUUGUAGUCUGGAGAAGCGCUUUCCGCGCCGGACCGUGUACAAGUCCUCUGGAACGGGGCGUCGUAGAGGGUGAGAAUCCCGUCUUUGACACGGACUACCGGUGCUCUGUGAUGCGCUCUCGAAGAGUCGAGUUGUUUGGGAAUGCAGCUCAAAACGGGUGGUGAAUUCCAUCUAAAGCUAAAUAUUGGCGAGAGACCGAUAGCGAACAAGUACCGUGAGGGAAAGAUGAAAAGCACUUUGGAAAGAGAGUUAAACAGUACGUGAAAUUGUUGAAAGGGAAACGCUUGAAGUCAGUCGCGUCGUCCAGGAUUCAGCCUUGCGAUCUCGCUCGGUGUACUUUCUGGUUCGACGGGCCAGCAUCGAUUUCGAUCGUCGGACAAAGGCGAGGGAAACGUGACACCCUUCUUGGGUGUGUUAUAGUCCCUCGUCGGUAUACGGCGGUCGGGAUCGAGGAACUCGGCACGCCCUCGUGGUCGGGGCUCUCAGCCCACGUCUCGUGCUUAGGAUACUGCG
rnacentral:rRNA from 1 species